CGAGAAAAUGUUCUAUUAAUAUAGUACUUAAGCAUAUAGCUGUAUAAGCAUAUUUAUUCAGUAGUACUUGCUUGUCGACAACAGAUAUAUGAUCAGUAAAAAGUAGUGCUACUUAAGCAUAUUGCACUUCACAGUCAGAUGGAAUCUGCAUUUAAAGUGAUCGUAGCUCAGAUCAGACUCAAAGACUGCAUAAUGGAGCACAUAGCUGUAUAAAGACUAAGUUUUCUUUUCUGAGGAAACUGCAGUGGCCACCGAUGCAUUGCGACUCAUAGAACUGAAUAAUUAGUAAAACCAUGUAAUUGCUAUGGUCUUUGUCUCUUUGAUGAUUCUUUUUGUUUCAUGUGUCACUUUGUUCUUGUACUAGAACGAAAAACAGCAAAGAAAAGAUGCCAUUAGUCUCAAUAACUUAGGAUCUGCAGUACUGCAGUGUGCAGCAGCACAUAAAGUCAAUUUCAGUGCCCUUUCGAAAUUACCAUGAUUCUACAAUGUCCUUUAUCAAUUUUCUGGCCGUGUGCUAUUUCUAUGUGCCAUUUAUUCUGGCUAUAACUAUUGGGUAAUUUUAGCACAUCACAUAAUGCUUAGCAUAUGAGAUUGGUGUCUGGAUGAUGAUAUUUGCUCUGAUUUUCUUUUUUGCUUCUAAUUAUUCAUACAAUCAUAUUAUGCAAAACAAUGCUGCAGGGUAUCCCAUGAUCUGAUUCUAAUACAGUGUUGCUCAGGUGUGCUUUCUAUGAUAAGUAGUAUGUUGACAUUGGCAAGCAGCAAUAUUGGCUAGUAGAUAAGAGCUAUUAUAGUCAAUAUUAUUCUUGGGAUAUCUUUUAUUUAUAAGUUGAUGAUGUUGUUUCAGGCUUACAGGUAUGUGGUCCUGAAAUUUGAAGCACUCUCUUCAUCUUUUUCUUGGGUGUUGGUGACAGUAUGACUUUUCAAAAUCUCAUGCGCCUUUGUUAACUUGUAUUGUUGGUAUUAAUUCUGCUUCUUGCAUGUGAGUGCGUUGGAACAACAUAUUAUUGCCUGAGCAAGUUACAUUAUUACCAUUGGUUCACUUCUUCUUACAUGUGCCUGUCAGUGCGGGGCGUGCUUGUUGCACCAGCUGGUUAUUUCUUAGAUGGUUCUCUGAUCUGGAAAUGUCAAAUGUUGUCUGAAAAUUAAUCCCGGACCAAAUAGGACUGGCUCCUGAUACUGCUGCCUGCGACGGCCCUUCCAUGGUGCUCUAAUCCUAAUCCCGUCUAUAGUUCUAUUGCAAAUAAAAAAAGGGCCCUGACUUGAAUUGCUUAUUUUUAAUUCAAAUUCAGCAUCUGGGGUCUGCAUGUAAAGUUGGUUUGUUUCAGUUGGCUUGAAAAAUUAUUUUGGUUGCACGCUGUCAUCUAAUGUGAAAAAUUAUUUUGAUUGUACACUGCCAUCACUCUUCACUUGUAUCUGAUUCAUUCAGAGUUCUAUCUAUCAAUUUGUGUUGAACUUCUAUCAAAUCUUGGCUUUAUAAGUUAACUGAAUAUAUUUGAAUGGUUUCAGUUAAGUCAUCAUUGUUGUUCCCUGCUGCUACCUUGGUGUUCUGUGGUUUGAUCCCCUCUGCGCAUUUAUUCUAGGGUCAAUCCAUAAGGGUUUCAUGUAUAUUUGGUCCGAAUUGGAGGCUUGGCUGGUUAUAUUUCACUUAGCUAUAAUAUGUUUAGUUUUUAGUGGUUAUGAUGUUGUUCAACCAAUUUUUCUACUGUAAAGGAAGAACCAAAUCUCUACCAACAUACUCAGAGAUCCUUAGUUUGAGGUAUAAAUAUAAACAUUUUGCAAUUGGUAAUUGGACUUGUUUCCUGUGCAUGAAUUAAACUGGGCUACCUUUUACUACUUUAAAAAUUAAAAUAAUAGAAUAAAUACUUCAAUCAUGGAACAUAAGCAACAUACUGUAAUGACAGUGCAAUACAUUGUUUGGUUCUGAAAUCUAAAAGAGAUUGUCAUGUGCAAUUAAUCAAACAGGUUCCGAGACUGAUCAAUCCUUUUGUUUUGGGAUGGUAUGUGAGGUGGAAAUUGAACUUGCAGCAGCUGCCUACAUAUAUGUACAGUUUACUUGGACGUGUGUUGUCACUGAGUCUACAGGGAUGGAAGCUGCAUAGGGAAGUAUCUUUGCUGACAAGAUGAUUGGGGGAUUUUGAUUAAAGACAUCGAGUGUCGUCGUUUCAAUGGGUAUUUAUGGGGGUGCUUUUUAGCUGAAGCUCUUGUUUGCUCUCCACAACAUUCAUGUGUUCAUCAGUGGAACAUUUUUGUUACCACCGUCUUGUAUAUUGUUAGUUGUGAUCUAAUGAGAUUAUUAUUUUUAGAAAUGAAGAAAUACCCGUUUUGAGCUAUAUAAUUUUGAAUUUUAAUGGGGUUUCACAAAACUAAAAAAUAGGUUGUGCUUGCUUUAAUUUAAACCACAUACUUGAUUAUCCAUAUUUUCACAUGAUUUGUUUGUGCUUUGACACUAUUAUGUAAAUAAAUUAAUCUCAAAAAAUAUGUUUGCUAAGAUCAAUAUUAUUUUACCUAUGUUGUGCAUUGCGCUGAAAAUCUUUUGCCACCCGUAGCAAUGCACAAGCAUGAACCUAGUUAACUAUGUAAAAUAUGAGGAAACCUUGGUCUAUUUACAACUUCCAAAGAAAACACAAUGCAUCAUAGCCAUUCAGGGCAGUUAAUAUAGUUCACUCGAGGUCUAUUGCUGUUUUUUUUUCAUGAAGUCCAUGAGAAUGGUGAAUUGAUUCUUCGUAAGAAAAUGGUGAGCUCUAUAUGAAUUUCCUUUUAUUAGGAUUGGAAGCAAAAGCGUGUGUUUCACCUUUAGCCUUUCUGGAGAAAGCAAGGGUGAUGGUAUUUAAUUGCAUAGGUAACAAGGGCAAGCAAAAGGGAACUUUCGAUUUGAUCAAUGACAUCUAACAUAGUGUGAUCAAACACUUCUCAACUGAAGUAGGAAGCGAGCGAACACUGAUAUUGAUUUUGCUAUAUAUGCUUCCGUCUGUUUGGGAUUCUAAAUAUGUUCAAUUAUUGCAUUUCGAGGAUAUUUUCAAAAUGUGCAAGUACAUGAUGCUUUGUACAGAACUUUCAGUUGGAUCCAUGUAUGUUUGGAGCUGCUCCUCCAUUGAGCAUUUUCUGCUCUGAUUUCCUGAUCAGCUGAUUAAUCAUUUGUUCGUACAAUCAUACAGGUAGCAAAGCUUCAAUCCUAAAAAACUGAAUGCGUCCUGAUACUGUUGCAUGCUAACAAGAGGGUGGUAGCAACUGGCCGGGGUUCUGCGUGCGGUCUUGGAUGCUGUUUGACACCAACCUGGUAAUGGCCUUUCUGAAUUGUAUUGUAUGGCUGUCGGAGCAUUGCAUUGCCGGUAACGUUUUUGUGCAGAGCCCGCUGGCCUGGUUUCAUUGAGGAAAUGAAGAGAUUUUUCUGGUGAGUGGGUAGGGUGGGGAAGAGAGUAGGAGAGCAGGUGCAUGGGCCUGAACUGAAUAAACAAACAUCUCACAUGGGAUGCAUACCUGCAUUGUCCUGGAAGCCCACCACCCCUCUCAUCAUCUCUACACACAAGCACCAACAUGGUAGAUAGAUCCGUGGUUAAAGCAUGUGACUCAACGAAUUUUCACAUCAUUUUUGUCUCCCUUUUGUGGCCACCAUUAUGCUCUCACUAGGCACAUACAUUGCCUUUGAGAUUCAGAUCGGCGAAAAUUGUAUUUUAGUAAGAGUAUACUCCACAGUCCA